UACGAGGGGGGCGAGCGUUGUUCGGAAUUAUUGGGCGUAAAGGGCGCGUAGGCGGUGCGGUAAGUCACCUGUGAAACCUCUGGGCUUAACUCAGAGCCUGCAGGCGAAACUGCCGUGCUGGAGUGUGGGAGAGGUGCGUGGAAUUCCCGGUGUAGCGGUGAAAUGCGUAGAUGAUCGGGAGGAACACCUGUGGCGAAAGCGGCGCACUGGACCACAACUGACGCUGAGGCGCGAAAGCGUGGGGAGCAAACAGG
rnacentral:rRNA from 1 species